AGUAAGACCCCUGAAAGACGAUCAGGUAGAUAGGUUCGAGGUGGAAGUGCGGUGACGCAUGCAGCUGACGAAUACUAAUCGGUCGAGGACUUAACCACAUUU
rnacentral:rRNA from 1 species